ACUCGCAAGUUCGUUGCGAGUGCUUGCAUCUAAUUAACAUAAACUGUCGAGCAUUGUGAUUGGAUGAAAGCACUCGCAGCAAGCUUGCGA